rnacentral:tRNA from 1 species
GAGCUCGUAGCUCAGCGGCAGAGCGUUCGAUUCACAUUCGAAAGGCCGAUGGUUCAAAUCCAUCCGAGCUCACAA